rnacentral:rRNA from 1 species
CAGCAGUAGCCGCGGUAAUACGUAGGUGGCAAGCGUUGUCCGGAAUUAUUGGGCGUAAAGGGCUCGCAGGCGGUUUCUUAAGUCUGAUGUGAAAGCCCCCGGCUCAACCGGGGAGGGUCAUUGGAAACUGGGAAACUUGAGUGCAGAAGAGGUGAGUGGAAUUCCACGUGUAGCGGUGAAAUGCGUAGAGAUGUGGAGGAACACCAGUGGCGAAGGCGACUCUCUGGUCUGUAACUGACGCUGAGGAGCGAAAGCGUGUGGAGCGAACAGGAUUAGAGACCCCCGUAGUCCCUGUCUCUUAUAA